GAUUAGCACUCCCCUUGAUAAGCAUGGAAGAGGUCCUAGUGACUUUUACAACAGGCAUAUGGUUAAGGCAUUGCCACUUACUUUGUGGCAUCUAACAUUGUUAGUGU
rnacentral:ncRNA from 1 species